UGCUCAGGAUGAACGCUGGCGGCGUGCUUAACACAUGCAAGUCGAACGGUGAAGCCAAGCUUGCUUGGUGGAUCAGUGGCGAACGGGUGAGUAACACGUGAGCAACCUGCCCUGGACUCUGGGAUAAGCGCUGGAAACGGCGUCUAAUACUGGAUAUGAGCCUCUUCCGCAUGGUGGGGGUUGGAAAGAUUUUUUGGUCUGGGAUGGGCUCGCGGCCUAUCAGCUUGUUGGUGAGGUAAUGGCUCACCAAGGCGUCGACGGGUAGCCGGCCUGAGAGGGUGACCGGCCACACUGGGACUGAGACACGGCCCAGACUCCUACGGGAGGCAGCAGUGGGGAAUAUUGCACAAUGGGCGAAAGCCUGAUGCAGCAACGCCGCGUGAGGGAUGACGGCCUUCGGGUUGUAAACCUCUUUUAGCAGGGAAGAAGCGAAAGUGACGGUACCUGCAGAAAAAGCGCCGGCUAACUACGUGCCAGCAGCCGCGGUAAUACGUAGGGCGCAAGCGUUAUCCGGAAUUAUUGGGCGUAAAGAGCUCGUAGGCGGUUUGUCGCGUCUGCUGUGAAAUCCCGAGGCUCAACCUCGGGCCUGCAGUGGGUACGGGCAGACUAGAGUGCGGUAGGGGAGAUUGGAAUUCCUGGUGUAGCGGUGGAAUGCGCAGAUAUCAGGAGGAACACCGAUGGCGAAGGCAGAUCUCUGGGCCGUAACUGACGCUGAGGAGCGAAAGGGUGGGGAGCAAACAGGCUUAGAUACCCUGGUAGUCCACCCCGUAAACGUUGGGAACUAGUUGUGGGGACCAUUCCACGGUUUCCGUGACGCAGCUAACGCAUUAAGUUCCCCGCCUGGGGAGUACGGCCGCAAGGCUAAAACUCAAAGGAAUUGACGGGGACCCGCACAAGCGGCGGAGCAUGCGGAUUAAUUCGAUGCAACGCGAAGAACCUUACCAAGGCUUGACAUACACCAGAACGGGCCAGAAAUGGUCAACUCUUUGGACACUGGUGAACAGGUGGU
rnacentral:rRNA from 1 species